ensembl:lncRNA
UCCUCUGCCUUUUUAUUUUUCCUCAGUUAUCCAUGUAUGUGGAAAUGUUAAGCCUGUGAGAAUUCAUAUUCAAAAAGAUCUGAACUUCUGAAACAUUAUAAACUUGAUCAUCAUCAUUAUGGCCGGGGCCGUGCUUAUCCCUGUACUCAUGAGAAUUGCCCAUGCACUUGCAAAACAUGGAAAGCUCUGCUGACUCAUCUAAGCAAAUGCAAUGCCAUUAAUUACAUUCAUGAAAGAUGAUUUUUGAACCUUAAAAACUCUUUUCAGAAGAGAAUUUAUUUAAUACACUUUAAAAGUUCUUUCUGCAUGCUCUGUUAUUGUUUCUCCAGUUUAAUGCUGAGUUCAUGCGGGUGACAACAGUACCCUUGGAGACAAAGUUCUUAGCGCAGUUGGACAAGCACACGUCAAAACUGCUGGAGGUCAUCAGGAGCAAGGGAGGACGUGUGGAAGAGCUGACAAAGGCAAUGUUGCAGGUUUUAGAUGAGUGUGUGCAGGAUAUGCAGGAAAACGAAGCAGCCAUGGCAAUCGUCAGUGGAAACGCGGACAUUAAAAUAGUCAUUGACGGAACAGAGGUCCUCAGAAAGGUGCCCACAAUAGCAACGGCUGUUACAUACAACCGUACACUAUUUUAGCUUUGUUACCACUUGAUUUUUUCAUUUUGGAAAAACCUAGUAUUUAUUAUUCCAUCGAAGUGAAGGUUUUUACUUUAGUGUAGUUAAUAUGCCCUAAUUUUGUUACAGGCAAAUUUAUUAGCUUUCAUCAAGUCAGAUUUCUCAUUCAGUACAAACUAAAAUUUAUAAUUUUCUUACAGGUAAAUUUAUCAGGUUUCAUCAAGAAUAAAAUUUAUAAUUAUACCUUAUUUUAUAAAUGUUCUUCUGACAUGCAAAGACAUCACUUAAUGUUGUCCAAUACAAUUCUAUAUCUUGCUUUAUUUCAAAUAAAAUGUCACAACAAACAGUAUUUUCUGUGAUAGAAAAGUAGAAUGUCCAUACAAGAUGAAACUCAAAACAUUUUGUCACAGUCAAUGUUUGAUCUUGUUUACAUAAUAGAAAUAAAGACAGGAAAAUUCUCUUUAAAAGGUUUACUCAUCUUCCCCGAGGUACAGAAUGAUGAACUUCAGCAGACACUCAGAUUCACCUCAGUGCAAACACUGUAGAGCCUUGAGGAGAAUGCACACAGAAAAAUGUUAUACUGUCCAAUUUUGCCACUUUACAAAAAAAUGCAGACACUGUACAAUAUACAAAUAGGUACUUGGAGUUACAGUAACUGAGAUCUACAGAGGCUUUCAGCUACUACUGGGAAGUAUACGGGUUAAUGCAGUGUACUGGUUCAUGCAGUGUACUGCUUAUGCACAGUUAUACUGAUGCAGUGUUGCAAACCAGUUAAAAGCCCUCUCACAAUCAAUAGAUAACGUGCAGUAUAUCUUCCAACAUUUAAUCUAACUCCUCAAGGGAACAUGUUAUGAAAAUGAACACAAUUGAUCAGGACUUAAUUCUGACAACUCUUCCCUCGUUUGAUUGUCUCAAUCAGCUUGCUGUGGUGCUUGUCCAAGGUAGCCAGGAAUCGCGGUUGUGAUUCUCAGAAAUUCCCCAUUGAUUUUUAAAAAACAAAAUAGUACAUUACAUGUUACAUUACAACUUUUUUUUUUUUUUUUUUUUUUUUUACAUCAAGUGUCAAAACAUGAAUUUUGUAUUGGUGUGGCAUCAUUUAUUUGCAGGUUUCUAAUGAUAGAGGAUAUCAUGAACUAGAAAAUUUCCUGCUGAAAAUGUGUUGGAAUGCUAAAAGCUGAAAUGAACUGUUGCUGAAAUUACAGAAAGUUGAAGGGAAUUUUAAUACAUUUGCUGAAAUUACAGAUAUUAGAAAAGCUGAAAUUAAUUUGAAAUUGCUGAAAAUACAGAAAUGGGAGAAGCUGAAAGGAAUUAAUAGAUUUGCUGAAAAAGCAGAAAUUAAUAUUAAAACAUUACUGUUAAUACAGGCAUAAAAAAAGCUGAAAUUAUUUUAAAGAACUGGAAAUACAGAAAUGAGAGAAGCUGCCACAGUCAGUGCCACAAAGGCAAUCAAAGACAGCCUAGCUAGCUAUCUAAAGACGAGAGAUUUUCUCUGGCCACUUUUCAGCCGUUUGGUUAUUAGUGGUGCAAUGCUAGCUAGUGCCAUGUUAGCGCUAUGCUAGCUAUGCUCUG